rnacentral:rRNA from 1 species
AGUGAACGCUGGCGGUAGGCCUAACACAUGCAAGUCGAACGGCGGCACAGUAAGAGCUUGCUCUUACGGGUGGCGAGUGGCGGACGGGUGAGGAAUACAUCGGAAUCUACUUUUUCGUGGGGGAUAACGUAGGGAAACUUACGCUAAUACCGCAUACGACCUACGGGUGAAAGCAGGGGAUCUCCGGACCUUGCGCGAUUGAAUGAGCCGAUGUCGGAUUAGCUAGUUGGCGGGGUAAAGGCCCACCAAGGCGACGAUCCGUAGCUGGUCUGAGAGGAUGAUCAGCCACACUGGAACUGAGACACGGUCCAGACUCCUACGGGAGGCAGCAGUGGGGAAUAUUGGACAAUGGGCGCAAGCCUGAUCCAGCCAUACCGCGUGGGUGAAGAAGGCCUUCGGGUUGUAAAGCCCUUUUGUUGGGAAAGAAAAGCAGCAGGUUAAUACCCCGCUGUUCUGACGGUACCCAAAGAAUAAGCACCGGCUAACUUCGUG